rnacentral:rRNA from 1 species
UACGGAGGGUGCAAGCGUUAUCCGGAUUCACUGGGUUUAAAGAGUGCGUAGGUGGGCAGGUAAGUCAGUGGUGAAAUCUCUGGGCUUAACCUGGAAACUGCCGUUGAUACUAUCUGUCUUGAAUAUAGUGGAGGUGAGCGGAAUAUGUCAUGUAGCGGUGAAAUGCUUAGAGAUGAGGAAGAACACCAGUGGCGAAGGCGACUCUUUGGCCUGUAACUGACGCUGAGGCGCGAAAGCGUGGGGAGCAAACAGG